GGGGAGGGAAAUAAGAAGAGCAAAGGGAAGAGAAAGGAAGAAGAAUAGGAAGGAGGAAGGAAGCUCACCUUGGUGCCGAUUGCCCACCUAGUUGCUAGAAUCCCUGCCGGAGAGAUGCACAUGUACCCCAAGGUCGGAAUUGAUUUGAACACUCGGUGGCCGUACUUGGAACCCGAUCCGUUCGAACUUAAACAAGAUGAUGAUGCAGGUACAGUCAUGCUCGUGGUUUGUGACUUUCCUUCCUCUGGACCCGAGUAUAGAGUGGGCGAUUGGUGGAUGCCAGAAGCAGGAGAGCAUGACUAGGACUGUGCAUGUGACUUUUGUGCAUAGGCGGCACCAUGAGAUGCUUGGCGUACUUUUGUUAUUCUGAUACAGAAUUGUGGAUGGUAUACUUUUGGACUUAUUAUUUAUAAGUCAUGGAUGAUUGUAAUGGAAUAACUUGGUUACGUAUAUAUAUGAUAUCACUAGAUGUUCACCAUUUUAA